rnacentral:rRNA from 1 species
CUGCAUGAAGUCGGAAUUGCUGUAAUCGCGGAUCAGCAUGCCGCGGUGAAUACGUUCCCGGGCCUUGUACACACCGCCCGUCACACCAUGGGAGCCGGUAAUACCCGAAGUCAGUAGUCCAACCUCGUGAGGACGCUGCCGAAGGUAGGAUUGGCGACUGGGGUGAAGUCGUAACAAGGUAUC